rnacentral:rRNA from 1 species
UACGUGAGGGUGCAAGCGUUAAUCGGAAUUACUGGGCGUAAAGCGUGCGCAGGCGGUUUUGUAAGUCUGUCGUGAAAAUCCCCCGGGCUCAACCUGGGAAUUGCGAUGGAGACUGCAAGGCUAGAAUCUGGCAGAGGGGGGUAGAAUUCCACGUGUAGCAGUGAAAUGCGUAGAGAUGUGGGAGGAACACCCGAUGGCGAAGGCAGCCCCCUGGGUCAAGAUUGACGCGCAUGCACGAAGACGUGGGGAGCAAA